rnacentral:rRNA from 1 species
UGGCUCAGGACGAACGCUGGCGGCGUGCUUAACACAUGCAAGUCGAGCGGAAAGGCCUCUUCGGGGGUACUCGAGCGGCGAACGGGUGAGUAACACGUGAGUAAUCUGCCCUUGGCUUCGGGAUAGCCACCGGAAACGGUGAUUAAUACCGGAUAUGACCACUCCAGGCAUCUGGUGGUGGUGGAAAGUUUUCGGCCAGGGAUGUGCUCGCGGCCUAUCAGCUUGAUGGUGAGGUAAUGGCUCACCAUGGCUUCGACGGGUAGCCGGCCUGAGAGGGUGACCGGUCACACUGGGACUGAGACACGGCCCAGACUCCUACGGGAGGCAGCAGUGGGGAAUAUUGGACAAUGGGCGGAAGCCUGAUCCAGCAACGCCGCGUGAGGGAUGACGGCCUUCGGGUUGUAAACCUCUUUCGCCUGUGACGAAGCGCAAGUGACGGUAACAGGUAAAGAAGCACCGGCCAACUACGUGCCAGCAGCCGCGGUAAUAC